rnacentral:rRNA from 1 species
UACGGAGGGUGCAAGCGUUAUCCGGAUUCACUGGGUUUAAAGGGCGCGUAGGCGGUGCGGUAAGUCUGUGGUGAAAUCUCCGGGCUCAACUCGGAAAUUGCCGCGGAAACUGCCGUGCUGGAGUGUGGGAGAGGUGAGUGGAAUUCCCGGUGUAGCGGUGAAAUGCGUAGAGAUCGGGAGGAACAUCAGUGGCGAAGGCGGCCAUCUGGGACAACACUGACGCUGAGGCACGAAAGCGUGGGGAGCAAACAGG